AUGAUGUAUAAAUAUGAAUUAAAAGCAAAGGUCAAAAUCUAGAACGUCCAAUUAACCUUUGACCUUGACCUCAAUUUCAAGGUCAUAGACUAAACAUCUCGAAUCAAAAGACACUAGUUCCUUAAUAUGUAUGGUUCAUGAGUAAUAUCACUUUACGAAAAAUUCUAAAUAUAAGAGGGGCGAAAACUCCCGUUUAUUGUCUACGCACCCUUGCAACCAAAAUUGAUAAGUUACGACAUGUCGCAACUAACAAUUUAGUAAAAAUAAUUUGUCGAUAUCUUAUAAAGUUAAUGAAAAUAAGUGAAAAUAAGCCA
rnacentral:lncRNA from 1 species